AGAAGGUUUUAUUCUUGCUUUUUUAUUUGUUAUCUUAUUGAUUUAUAUAUGUAUAUUUGUAAUUUAAUUUUCUUAAUGAUUAUUAAUUUAUUUUGUAGUAAUUAAUUUUAUUUUAUUUGGGUAACCUUGAUUUAGUAAUUAAUUUUUGUAUUGAUUCAAUAUGUGCCAGCAAUCGCGGUUAGACAUGGGAUAUAAUUGAAUAUUUUCAGUUUUGUAGUUAUUAUUAUUUUAUUUGUUUGUAUUGAUUAUUUUUAGGUGAAAUUUUAAUUUUUGUUUAUUUUAUUUAUUUAUUAUUAAGAGGCUGCUAAAUUUUAAUUAUUUAAACUAGGAUUAGAUACCCUUUUAUUUUUAAUGUAAUUUUUUUGCUUGGGUAGUAAUAGUUAUUUUCUUGAAACCUAAAGAAUUUGACGGUGUUUUAUUCCUUUUAGAGGAAUCUGUUUAGUAAUCGAUAGUCCACGUUGAACCUUGCUUUUUUUAUUUAGUUUGUAUACCGUCGUUGUUGAUUAUUUUUUUAGAAAGUUAAUUUUCUUGAUUUUUUAUUGAGUAAUAUUUCAGAUCAAGGUGCAGCUUAUGGAUAAGUAUAAAUGGAUUACAAUAUUUUUUUUGUAGAUGGAUUUUAAAUUUGGUGAUUUUGAUGAAGGUGGAUUUAAUAGUAAUUAUAUUAAUAAUAAUAUGGUUAAUUGGGCUCUAGAAUAUGUACAUAUCGCCCGUCACUCUCGUUGUUAUUAAAUGAGAUAAGUCGUAACAAAGUAGAUGUACUGGAAAGUGUAUCUAGAAUGUUAUUG
rnacentral:rRNA from 1 species